CAUUUUACUAAAUUACCUCAAAAUAUGCUUUUUAUUGAUAGCUUCUACCUUUUAGUUUUUUUUAAGACAAGCCUGAGAUCAAGAAUCACAUAAAGAAAGAAAAAACGCCCCUCUCACCCUUCUGCGGGUGGUUUCUCACCCAAGCUCGAGUCCUCUACCAGAGCUUCAGGGUCCUGCGCAGUACCUGAGCUCUUCUUAGCACUAGGAUCUAUUGUAGCCACUCCUCCAGCUUGAGGGUUACUGCCCCGAAUGUCGAAAUAACCUUAAUUUUAAUUUUUAUGCCGAUGAUACUCAACUUUACGUAUCCUUUAAACCUGGUGACCAUGGUCUUUUAAAGAAUUUCAAUAGCUGCAUUGCUGAUAUUAAAACCUGGAUCGCCCAAAAUUAUCUGCAGUUGAAUAUGGACAAAACUGAUGUAAUUUUUUUUGGUUCAGUUGAGGCCCAAAAUGGUGUGGCUCAGAAAUUAGAGUCUCUGUCUAACAGUGUUUCUUCAAGCUGCAGAAAUCUGGGGGUGAUAUUUGAUACCGAUUUGAAUUUGGAGACACAUGUUAAAUCGGUGGUCAAAUCUUGUUUUUGGUAACUACAUAGGUUAUACAGGAUAACCCCUCUCCUAUCUAAAAAAUGUCUUGAGAUGGUGAUUCACGCUUUUAUUUUUUCCCUUUUGGACUAUUGUAACGCACUCUACACAUAAACACAUACUCUACACCAGAAAACUGGUCUGUCAUCUUUGCAUUGUAGGUCCUCUUUGCAGCCUUGAUCUCCUUUUGGCAGCGUCAAAACUGUCAUGGUGCCCCUGGCAGCUCUCCUCCCCCUCCCCUCUCUGCUCUGUUCCUGAUGUGACCAGCUGUAACCACUCACCUCAUCAGCCUGCAGCCCUCUUAAGGAGUUCCAGUUCCAGUUUGUUGUUCCUCUACGGAAAAGAAAUCCACGAGUGCUCACCUGGUUACCGUCACCAUUCCAUGCUCCUUGUCUUCGCCUCGGAUCUAGUUCAAGCCAAGCUCUCCUGAUCUGCUACUGCCGAACCCUCCAGCCACGCCUCGCCUCCUAGCCAGGAUUCCUGAUCUUCAUCAUACUAUUUAGCAACUGAACUCUGCUUUCAACUUUACCACUGAACUAUCUGGCUGUAAAUUAAAUCAUCUUACUUACCUUACAUUCUCCUGGGAUUUCUUCCGGGUUCCAGCAUCUGGGUCUGCCAAGUCAAGUGAUAUCAUGACAGAACGAACUGGCCAAACUCCUGACCCAGCUGACCCGGAAGGACUCCGCCUCACCAUAUUCCAACAAGGAAUAAUCCUCAACUGUCAACAGAUGCUCUCUCCCAGAUGUCCUCUGCGCAGCAGGAUCUUUUUCGCCACCACGACGGUAUAACUCAGACUCUCAUGGAAGUAACCGGACAAAUCUCCAAUCCUACUGUUUCAGCUCCGCCACCAUCUUCCAGCAACGUUCCAGCCUCUACUUCCGCCACGUCACCGGAAAACUUCCGCCUCCAGCCUGAACCCAGCCUGCAGAGGUUUUUUACUAUAAUGUCAACUCAUCUUCCAACAAGCACCCAGG